rnacentral:tRNA from 1 species
GCCCGGUCGGCGUGCGGCGACCGCCGCCCGGUCGGGCCGGUCAGGUCGAUCGCCGCACUUCACGGGCCGUUCGACGCGGCCGGCGGGCC